rnacentral:rRNA from 1 species
AUUGAACGCUGGCGGCAUGCCUUACACAUGCAAGUCGAACGGUAACAGGUCUUCGGAUGCUGACGAGUGGCGAACGGGUGAGUAAUACAUCGGAACGUGCCCAGACGUGGGGGAUAACGAGGCGAAAGCUUUGCUAAUACCGCAUACGAUCUAAGGAUGAAAGCAGGGGACCGCAAGGCCUUGUGCGUUUGGAGCGGCCGAUGGCAGAUUAGGUAGUUGGUGGGAUAAAAGCUUACCAAGCCGACGAUCUGUAGCUGGUCUGAGAGGACGACCAGCCACACUGAGACUGAGACACGGCCCAGACUCCUACGGGAGGCAGCAGUGGGGAAUUUUGGACAAUGGGCGAAAGCCUGAUCCAGCAAUGCCGCGUGCAGGAUGAAGGCCUUCGGGUUGUAAACUGCUUUUGUACGGAACGAAAAGGCUCUGGCUAAUACCUGGGGCACAUGACGGUACCGUAAGAAUAAGCACCGGCUAACUACGUG